CAACAUGAUGAUACGAACACUUUGUUUUACUUCUGGUACCUCUUAAGUUAGAGGGCCUUCGGGCUCUCACUGCACUUACUGGACUUCUGAUU
rfam:Beauveria bassiana D1-5 contig00340, whole genome shotgun sequence.